GACGUAGGGGACGAGCGUUGUCCGGAUUCAUUGGGCGUAAAGCGCGCGUAGGCGGUUCGGUAAGUCUGGUGUGAAAACACGAGGCUCAACCUCGUGCGUGCAUCCGAUACUGCCGGACUAGAGGUAGGUAGGGGAGAUCGGAAUUCCUGGUGUAGCGGUGAAAUGCGCAGAUAUCAGGAGGAACACCGGUGGCGAAGGCGGAUCUCUGGGCCUUACCUGACGCUCAGGCGCGAAAGCUAGGGGAGCGAACAGG
rnacentral:rRNA from 1 species